rnacentral:rRNA from 1 species
AGAGUUUGAUCAUGGCUCAGGACGAACGCUGGCGGCACGCUUAACACAUGCAAGUCGAACGAGAGAAGAGGAGCUUGCUUUUCUGAUCUAGUGGCGGACGGGUGAGUAACACGUGAGCAAUCUGCCUUUCAGAGGGGGAUACCGAUUGGAAACGAUCGUUAAUACCGCAUAACAUAAUUGAACCGCAUGAUUUGAUUAUCAAAGAUUUAUCGCUGAAAGAUGAGCUCGCGUCUGAUUAGCUAGUUGGUAAGGUAACGGCUUACCAAGGCGACGAUCAGUAGCCGGACUGAGAGGUUGAUCGGCCACAUUGGGACUGAGACACGGCCCAGACUCCUACGGGAGGCAGCAGUGGGGAAUAUUGCACAAUGGAGGAAACUCUGAUGCAGCGAUGCCGCGUGAGGGAAGAAGGUUUUAGGAUUGUAAACCUCUGUCUUCAGGGACGAAAAAAGACGGUACCUGAGGAGGAAGCUCCGGCUAACUACGUGCCAGCAGCCGCGGUAAUACGUAGGGAGCGAGCGUUGUCCGGAAUUACUGGGUGUAAAGGGAGCGUAGGCGGGAUCGCAAGUCAGAUGUGAAAACUAUGGGCUUAACCCAUAAACUGCAUUUGAAACUGUGGUUCUUGAGUGAAGUAGAGGUAAGCGGAAUUCCUAGUGUGGCGGUGAAAUGCGUAGAUAUUAGGAGGAACAUCAGUGGCGAAGGCGGCUUACUGGGCUUUAACUGACGCUGAGGCUCGAAAGCGUGGGGAGCAAACAGGAUUAGAUACCCUGGUAGUCCACGCCGUAAACGAUGAUUACUAGGUGUUGGGGGAAUAACUCAGUGCCGCAGUUAACGCAGUAAGUUCUCCGCCUGGGGAGUAUGCACGCAAGUGUGAAACUCAAAGGAAUUGACGGGGGCCCGCACAAGCGGUGGAGUAUGUGGUUUAAUUCGAAGCAACGCGAAGAACCUUACCAGGCCUUGACAUCCCUUGCAGAGGUAUAGAGAUAUAUCCGAGGUUAUCAAGGAGACAGGUGGUGCAUGGUUGUCGUCAGCUCGUGUCGUGAGAUGUUGGGUUAAGUCCCGCAACGAGCGCAACCCUUGUGAUAUGUUACUAACAUUGAGUUGAGGACUCAUAUCAGACUGCCGGUGAUAAACCGGAGGAAGGUGGGGAUGACGUCAAAUCAUCAUGCCCCUUAUGGCCUGGGCUACACACGUACUACAAUGGCGUCUACAAAGAGCGGCAAGCCUGUGAAGGCAAGCGAAUCUCAUAAAGGACGUCUCAGUUCGGAUUGAGGUCUGCAACCCGACUUCAUGAAGCUGGAAUCGCUAGUAAUCGCGAAUCAGCAUGUCGCGGUGAAUACGUUCUCGGGCCUUGUACACACCGCCCGUCAAACCAUGGGAGUUGGUAAUGCCCGAAGCCGGUGGCAUAACCCUUCGGGGAGUGAGCCGUCGAAGGCAGGACCGAUGACUGGGGUUAAGUCGUAACAAGGUA